AUACAUGCAAGUCGAGCGGACAGAUGGGAGCUUGCUCCCUGAUGUUAGCGGCGGACGGGUGAGUAACACGUGGGUAACCUGCCUGUAAGACUGGGAUAACUCCGGGAAACCGGGGCUAAUACCGGAUGGUUGUUUGAACCGCAUGGUUCAGACAUAAAAGGUGGCUUCGGCUACCACUUACAGAUGGACCCGCGGCGCAUUAGCUAGUUGGUGAGGUAACGGCUCACCAAGGCGACGAUGCGUAGCCGACCUGAGAGGGUGAUCGGCCACACUGGGACUGAGACACGGCCCAGACUCCUACGGGAGGCAGCAGUAGGGAAUCUUCCGCAAUGGACGAAAGUCUGACGGAGCAACGCCGCGUGAGUGAUGAAGGUUUUCGGAUCGUAAAGCUCUGUUGUUAGGGAAGAACAAGUGCCGUUCAAAUAGGGCGGCACCUUGACGGUACCUAACCAGAAAGCCACGGCUAACUACGUGCCAGCAGCCGCGGUAAUACGUAGGUGGCAAGGCGUUGUCCGGAAUUAUUGGGCGUAAAGGGCUCGCAGGCGGUUUCUUAAGUCUGAUGUGAAAGCCCCCGGCUCAACCGGGGAGGGUCAUUGGAAACUGGGGAACUUGAGUGCAGAAGAGGAGAGUGGAAUUCCACGUGUAGCGGUGAAAUGCGUAGAGAUGUGGAGGAACACCAGUGGCGAAGGCGACUCUCUGGUCUGUAACUGACGCUGAGGAGCGAAAGCGUGGGGAGCGAACAGGAUUAGAUACCCUGGUAGUCCACGCCGUAAACGAUGAGUGCUAAGUGUUAGGGGGUUUCCGCCCCUUAGUGCUGCAGCUAACGCAUUAAGCACUCCGCCUGGGGGAGUACGGUCGCAAGACUGAAACUCAAAGGAAUUGACGGGGGCCCGCACAAGCCGGUGGAGCAUGUGGUUUAAUUCGAAGCAACGCGAAGAACCUUACCAGGUCUUGACAUCCUCUGACAAUCCUAGAAGAUAGGACGUCCCCUUCGGGGGCAGAAGUGACAGGUGGUGCAUGGUUGUCGUCAGCUCGUGUCGUGAGAUGUUGGGUUAAGUCCCGCAACGAGCGCAACCCUUGAUCUUAGUUGCCAGCAUUCAGUUGGGCACUCUAAGGUGACUGCCGGUGACAAACCGGAGGAAGGUGGGGAUGACGUCAAAUCAUCAUGCCCCUUAUGACCUGGGCUACACACGUGCUACAAUGGACAGAACAAAGGGCAGCGAAACCGCGAGGUUAAGCCAAUCCCACAAAUCUGUUCUCAGUUCGGAUCGCAGUCUGCAACUCGACUGCGUGAAGCUGGAAUCGCUAGUAAUCGCGGAUCAGCAUGCCGCGGUGAAUACGUUCCCGGGCCUUGUACACACCGCCCGUCACACCACGAGAGUUUGUAACACCCGAAGUCGGUGAGGUAACCUUUUAGGAGCCAGCCGCCGA
rnacentral:rRNA from 1 species